CCUGUUCCUACCUGCCAUCCUGUUACCAAUUUAAAGAAAGAGAACAUGUGUUCAACAGUUGUUGCAUGGGAGGCAUCAUCAGGCCAAGGAUCAAGAUUCAGAAGAUUAUUUCCUCAAAGCAGUAAGCUGUGACAUCAUGGCAGUCAGAUGUGGGAGAUUUGACACAUCUGAUAUAGGAUGAACAUCAGGCUUGAAGCUUUAGGGAUUUUUAUACAACAACUCCCAAACCACUUUCCUGGUCAGUAUGCAGUAUUUCUUUCCAUUUAGCAAAUAUUCCAUCUUCUCAC